GGGUGCGGGAGCAGGCGGCAGCGGGCGCGGGGACGUUCGCUUCUCUCCUCUGGGUAAUUGCUGCGCAGGAAAUUGGACGUAAAAUGUUUGAAUGAUCACAUAUCCGAGGUGGAGGACACCGGGCUGUAGCUUGAAACAGGAAUGCCAAGCGACUGCCAGUGAACAGGGGGCUUGAGGUGACCCGAGAAGAGAUGUCAUCUACCGGCGAGUGAAGUGUGGGCCAUGACUGCUC